rnacentral:rRNA from 1 species
UACGGGGGGGGCAAGCGUUGUUCGGAAUUACUGGGCGUAAAGGGCUCGUAGGUGGCCAACUAAGUCAGACGUGAAAUCCCUCAGCUUAACUGGGGAACUGCGUCUGAUACUGGAUGGCUUGAGUUUGGGAGAGGGAUGCGGAAUUCCAGGUGUAGCGGUGAAAUGCGUAGAUAUCUGGAGGAACACCGGUGGCGAAGGCGCUGCUCUGGGCCGGUACUGACGCUGAGGAGCGAAAGCGUGGGUAGCAAACAGG